AGAUAAUUAGUUUAAAGAAAACCUUUGAUUUCGGCUCAAAAACUUGUGGUUAGACUCCAUAAUCAUCUA
rnacentral:tRNA from 1 species